rnacentral:rRNA from 1 species
AUGGCGGCGGCGACGACGAUCCAGUCGGUGAAGGCGCGGCAGAUCUUCCAACCGUCGAGUGACGGAAGCCUUGGAUCUACGAGGGACGGGGGCUCUGAUUACCUCGGCAAAGGUGUCCUCAAGGCGGUGAACAACGUAAACGCCAUCAUCGGGCCGGCGCUGAUCGGGAAGGACCCGACGGAGCAGACCGACAUCGACAACUUCAUGGUCCAGCAGCUCGACGGGACCUCCAACGAGUGGGGCUGGUGCAAACAAAAGCUCGGGGCAAACGCCAUCCUCGCGGUGUGCAAGGCCGGUGCCAUGGUCAAGAAGAUCCCUCUUUACCAGCACAUUGCAAACCUUGCGGGGAACAAGACCCUCGUGCUGCCCGUGCCUGCUUUCAAUGUGAUCAACGGAGGCUCUCACGCCGGGAACAAGCUCGCCAUGCAGGAGUUCAUGAUCCUUCCGACCGGCGCCGCCUCGUUCAAGGAGGCCAUGAAGAUGGGAGUUGAGGUGUACCACCACCUCAAGAGCAUAAUCAAGAAGAAGUAUGGCCAAGACGCUACAAACGUUGGGGAUGAAGGUGGCUUUGCACCUAACAUUCAGGAAAACAAGGAGGGCCUGGAACUGUUGAAGGCAGCUAUAGCCAAGGCUGGCUACACUGGAAAGGUGGUCAUUGGAAUGGAUGUUGCUGCUUCUGAAUUAUACAGCGAGAAGGACCAGACCUAUGACCUGAAUUUCAAGGAGGAUAGGGUUGCCAAGGCGAUCAGUGAGAAGACCUGCAAUGCCCUUCUCCUCAAGGUGAAUCAGAUAGGCUCGGUGACUGAGAGCAUCGAGGCCGUGAGCAUGUCGAAGCGCGCCGGGUGGGGAGUGAUGGCGAGCCACAGGAGUGGUGAGACAGAGGACACCUUCAUCGCCGACCUCUCGGUCGGCCUGGCCACGCCUUCGGCUGAAACAGAGCUUCAAAUCCUUACACUUUUUACUGCAUUGGGUGACACCAUGGUCAUAUCUUUCUCCGCUUGCUUGUUGCAGGGCCAGAUCAAGACUGGAGCUCCCUGCAGGUCCGAGCGUCUGGCCAAAUACAACCAGAUUAGCGGUGUGUUUUCAUUCCUCUUAAAUAAAACAGUUUCUACUCUUCUGGCAAGUUCAGCUAAUUAUUUAUGCUCGGAGGAUAACACCACGAACCUUGUUUAUGCGCAGAGGAUAACACCACGAACAUGGGUGCUACAUUAA